rnacentral:rRNA from 1 species
GCUGUCGUCAGCUCGUGUUGUGAAAUGUUGGGUUAAGUCCCGCAACGAGCGCAACCCUUAUCCUUUGUUGCCAGCGGUUCGGCCGGGAACUCAAAGGAGACUGCCAGUGAUAAACUGGAGGAAGGUGGGGAUGACGUCAAGUCAUCAUGGCCCUUACGAGUAGGGCUACACACGUGCUACAAUGGCAUAUACAAAGAGAAGCGACCUCGCGAGAGCAAGCGGACCUCAUAAAGUACGUCGUAGUCCGGAUUGGAGUCUGCAACUCGACUCCAUGAAGUCGGAAUCGCUAGUAAUCGUAGAUCAGAAUGCUACGGUGAAUACGUUCCCGGGCCUUGUACACACCGCCCGUCACACCAUGGGAGUGGGUUGCAAAAGAAGUAGGUAGCUUAACCUUCGGGAGGGCGCUUACCACUUUGUGAUUCAUGACUGGGGUGAAGUCGUAACAAGGUAACCGUAGGGGAACCUGCGGUUGGAUCACCUCCUUA